rnacentral:rRNA from 1 species
GACGAACGCUGGCGGCGUGCUUAAUACAUGCAAGUCAACUUGACUUUAGGUAACAAUAUCGAAAAGUAGGGUGGCGCACGGUGCGUAACGCGUAGGUAAUCUGCCCUGAGGUCUGACAUAACCCGUCGAAAGGCGGGCUAACAUCAGAUGAUAUAUAAUCACGACAUCGUGGAAAUAUCAAAUCUUCGGAGCCUUGGGAUGAGCCUGCGUCUGAUUAGGUAGUUGGCGGAGUAAUAGCCCACCAAGCCUACGAUCAGUAGCUGGUCUGAGAGGAUGAUCAGCCACACUGGAACUGAGACACGGUCCAGACUCCUACGGGAGGCAGCAGUAAGGAAUAUUGCUCAAUGGGGGAAACCCUGAAGCAGCAACGCCGCGUGAAGGAUGAAAUACUUUUGUAUGUGAACUUCUGUAAGAUGGGAAAAUAUUCUCCUCGGGAGAAUUGAUUGUACCAUCAGAGUAAGCCCCGGCUAACCUACGUGCCAGCAGCCG